rnacentral:rRNA from 3 species
CGCGUCCCCAAGUCAGGCGUGAAUACCCG